rnacentral:rRNA from 1 species
UACGUAGGGUGCAAGCGUUAAUCGGAAUUACUGGGCGUAAAGCGUGCGCAGGCGGCUUUGCAAGACAGAUGUGAAAUCCCCGGGCUUAACCUGGGAACUGCAUUUGUGACUGCAUGGCUGGAGUGCGGCAGAGGGGGAUGGAAUUCCGCGUGUAGCAGUGAAAUGCGUAGAGAUCGUAAGGAAGACCAGUGGCGAAGGCGGGUCUCGUGGACAGUUCCUGACACUGAGGCACGAAAGCGUGGGGAGCAAACAGG